rnacentral:rRNA from 1 species
UACGUAGGGUGCAAGCGUUGUCCGGAAUUAUUGGGCGUAAAGAGCUCGUAGGCGGUCUGUCACGUCGGCUGUGAAAACCCGAGGCUCAACCUCGGGCCUGCAGUCGAUACGGGCAGACUAGAGUUCGGUAGGGGAGACUGGAAUUCCUGGUGUAGCGGUGAAAUGCGCAGAUAUCAGGAGGAACACCGGUGGCGAAGGCGGGUCGCUGGGCCGAAACUGACGCUGAUGAGCGAAAGCGUGGGGAGCGAACAGG